AAUCGCGGCCUAGUACAGCGAUCUUGGGUCCGUAUUGGAGAACUCACACAGUCGGACGGUGGACACAACCUGCCGCCCGUCUACCACAAAACUUGACUUUGUCCAAUCGCGGCCUAGUACAGCGAUCUUGGGUCCGUAUUGGAGAACUCACACAGUCGGACGGUGGACACAACCUGCCGCCCGUCUACCACAAAACUUGACUUUGUCCAAUCGCGGCCUAGUACAGCGAUCUUGGGUCCGUAUUGGAGAACUCACACAGUCGGACGGUGGACACAACCUGCCGCCCGUCUACCACAAAACUUGACUUUGUCCAAUCGCGGCCUAGUACAGCGAUCUUGGGUCCGUAUUGGAGAACUCACACAGUCGGACGGUGGACACAACCUGCCACCCGUCUACCA